CAGUCGCCACGGUAAUACGAAGGGGGCUAGCGUUGCUCGGAAUCACUGGGCGUAAAGGGUGCGUAGGCGGGUCUUUAAGUCAGGGGUGAAAUCCUGGAGCUCAACUCCAGAACUGCCUUUGAUACUGAAGAUCUUGAGUAUGGGAGAGGUGAGUGGAACUGCGAGUGUAGAGGUGAAAUUCGUAGAUAUUCGCAAGAACACCAGUGGCGAAGGCGGCUCACUGGCCCAUAACUGACGCUGAGGCACGAAAGCGUGGGGAGCAAACAGGAUUAGAUACCCCAGUAGUCCCUGUCUCUUAUAC
rnacentral:rRNA from 1 species